GACGAACGCUGGCGGCGUGCCUAAUACAUGCAAGUAGAACGCUGAAGAGAGGAGCUUACUCUUCUUGGAUGAGUUGCGAACGGGUGAGUAACGCGUAGGUAACCUGCCUUGUAGCGGGGGAUAACUAUUGGCAACGAUAGCUAAUACCGCAUAACAAUGGAUGACACAUGUCAUUUAUUAGAAAGGGGCAAUUGCUCCACUACAAGAUGGACCUGCGUUGUAUUAGCUAGUAGGUGAGGUACUGGAGCACCUAGGCGACGAUACAUAGCCGACCUGAGAGGGUGAGCGGCCACACUGGGAGGGAGACACGGCCCAGAGUCCCACAGGAGGCAGCAGGAGGGAAUCUUCGGGAAUGGGGGCGACCGUGACCGAGAAACGCCGCGUGAGUGAGGAGGGUUUCCGGAUCGUAAAGCUCUGUUGUAGGUCAAGAACGGGUGUGAGAGUGGAAAGUUCACUCUGUGACGGUAACUUACCAGAAAGGGACGGCUAACUACGUG
rnacentral:rRNA from 1 species